GAUGAACGCUAGCGAUAGGCUUAACACAUGCAAGUCGAGGGGCAGCAUGGUCUUAGCUUGCUAAGACUGAUGGCGACCGGCGCACGGGUGCGUAACGCGUAUGCAACUUGCCUCACAGAGGGGGAUAACCCGUCGAAAGACGGACUAAUACCGCGUACACUUGGGAUAGGGCAUCCUGACCCAAGGAAAUGAAAUUCGCUGUGAGAUAGGCAUGCGUCCCAUUAGCUAGUUGGUGAGGUAACGGCUCACCAAGGCGGCGAUGGGUAGGGGAACUGAGAGGUUGAACCCCCACACUGGUACUGAGACACGGACCAGACUCCUACGGGAGGCAGCAGUGAGGAAUAUUGGUCAAUGGGCGAGAGCCUGAACCAGCCAAGUCGCGUGAAGGAUGACUGUCUUAUGGAUUGUAAACUUCUUUUAUACGGGAAUAACAAGAGCCACGUGUGGCUCCCUGCAUGUACCGUAUGAAUAAGCAUCGGCUAACUCCGUG
rnacentral:rRNA from 1 species